CCCAGCAGCCGCGGUAAUUCCAGCUCCAAUAGCGUAUAUUAAAGUUGUUGCAGUUAAAAAGCUCGUAGUUGGAUCUCGGGUCCAGGCUCGCGGUCCGCCUCGCGGCGGUUACUGCCCGUCCUGACCUACCUCCCCGGUGUUCCCUUGGUGCUCUUGACUGAGUGUCUCGGGUGGCCGGAACGUUUACUUUGAAAAAAUUAGAGUGUUCAAAGCAGGCAGCUCGCCUGAAUAAUGGUGCAUGGAAUAAUGGAAUAGGACCUCGGUUCUAUUUUGUUGGCCUUCGGAACUUGAGGUAAUGAUUAAGAGGGACGGACGGGGGCAUCCGUAUUACGGUGUUAGAGGUGAAAUUCUUGGAUCGCCGUAAGACAAACAACUGCGAAAGCUUUUGCCAAGAAUGUUUUCAUUAAUCAAGAACGAAAGUCAAAGGUUCGAAGACAAUCAAAUACCGCAAAUUUUUUUUU
rnacentral:rRNA from 1 species